UUAAGCGACUAAGCGUACACGGUGGAUGCCCUGGCAGUCAGAGGCGAUGAAGGACGUGCUAAUCUGCGAUAAGCGUCGGUAAGGUGAUAUGAACCGUUAUAACCGGCGAUUUCCGAAUGGGGAAACCCAGUGUGUUUCGACACACUAUCAUUAACUGAAUCCAUAGGUUAAUGAGGCGAACCGGGGGAACUGAAACAUCUAAGUACCCCGAGGAAAAGAAAUCAACCGAGAUUCCCCCAGUAGCGGCGAGCGAACGGGGAGCAGCCCAGAGCCUGAAUCAGUGUGUGUGUUAGUGGAAGCGUCUGGAAAGGCGCGCGAUACAGGGUGACAGCCCCGUACACAAAAAUGCACAUGCUGUGAGCUCGAUGAGUAGGGCGGGACACGUGGUAUCCUGUCUGAAUAUGGGGGGACCAUCCUCCAAGGCUAAAUACUCCUGACUGACCGAUAGUGAACCAGUACCGUGAGGGAAAGGCGAAAAGAACCCCGGCGAGGGGAGUGAAAAAGAACCUGAAACCGUGUACGUACAAGCAGUGGGAGCACGCUUAGGCGUGUGACUGCGUACCUUUUGUAUAAUGGGUCAGCGACUUAUAUUCUGUAGCAAGGUUAACCGAAUAGGGGAGCCGAAGGGAAACCGAGUCUUAACUGGGCGUUAAGUUGCAGGGUAUAGACCCGAAACCCGGUGAUCUAGCCAUGGGCAGGUUGAAGGUUGGGUAACACUAACUGGAGGACCGAACCGACUAAUGUUGAAAAAUUAGCGGAUGACUUGUGGCUGGGGGUGAAAGGCCAAUCAAACCGGGAGAUAGCUGGUUCUCCCCGAAAGCUAUUUAGGUAGCGCCUCGUGAAUUCAUCUCCGGGGGUAGAGCACUGUUUCGGCAAGGGGGUCAUCCCGACUUACCAACCCGAUGCAAACUGCGAAUACCGGAGAAUGUUAUCACGGGAGACACACGGCGGGUGCUAACGUCCGUCGUGAAGAGGGAAACAACCCAGACCGCCAGCUAAGGUCCCAAAGUCAUGGUUAAGUGGGAAACGAUGUGGGAAGGCCCAGACAGCCAGGAUGUUGGCUUAGAAGCAGCCAUCAUUUAAAGAAAGCGUAAUAGCUCACUGGUCGAGUCGGCCUGCGCGGAAGAUGUAACGGGGCUAAACCAUGCACCGAAGCUGCGGCAGCGACGCUUAUGCGUUGUUGGGUAGGGGAGCGUUCUGUAAGCCUGCGAAGGUGUGCUGUGAGGCAUGCUGGAGGUAUCAGAAGUGCGAAUGCUGACAUAAGUAACGAUAAAGCGGGUGAAAAGCCCGCUCGCCGGAAGACCAAGGGUUCCUGUCCAACGUUAAUCGGGGCAGGGUGAGUCGACCCCUAAGGCGAGGCCGAAAGGCGUAGUCGAUGGGAAACAGGUUAAUAUUCCUGUACUUGGUGUUACUGCGAAGGGGGGACGGAGAAGGCUAUGUUGGCCGGGCGACGGUUGUCCCGGUUUAAGCGUGUAGGCUGGUUUUCCAGGCAAAUCCGGAAAAUCAAGGCUGAGGCGUGAUGACGAGGCACUACGGUGCUGAAGCAACAAAUGCCCUGCUUCCAGGAAAAGCCUCUAAGCAUCAGGUAACAUCAAAUCGUACCCCAAACCGACACAGGUGGUCAGGUAGAGAAUACCAAGGCGCUUGAGAGAACUCGGGUGAAGGAACUAGGCAAAAUGGUGCCGUAACUUCGGGAGAAGGCACGCUGAUAUGUAGGUGAAGUCCCUCGCGGAUGGAGCUGAAAUCAGUCGAAGAUACCAGCUGGCUGCAACUGUUUAUUAAAAACACAGCACUGUGCAAACACGAAAGUGGACGUAUACGGUGUGACGCCUGCCCGGUGCCGGAAGGUUAAUUGAUGGGGUUAGCGCAAGCGAAGCUCUUGAUCGAAGCCCCGGUAAACGGCGGCCGUAACUAUAACGGUCCUAAGGUAGCGAAAUUCCUUGUCGGGUAAGUUCCGACCUGCACGAAUGGCGUAAUGAUGGCCAGGCUGUCUCCACCCGAGACUCAGUGAAAUUGAACUCGCUGUGAAGAUGCAGUGUACCCGCGGCAAGACGGAAAGACCCCGUGAACCUUUACUAUAGCUUGACACUGAACAUUGAGCCUUGAUGUGUAGGAUAGGUGGGAGGCUUGGAAGUGUGGACGCCAGUCUGCAUGGAGCCGACCUUGAAAUACCACCCUUUAAUGUUUGAUGUUCUAACGUGGACCCGUGAUCCGGGUUGCGGACAGUGUCUGGUGGGUAGUUUGACUGGGGCGGUCUCCUCCUAAAGAGUAACGGAGGAGCACGAAGGUUGGCUAAUCCUGGUCGGACAUCAGGAGGUUAGUGCAAUGGCAUAAGCCAGCUUGACUGCGAGCGUGACGGCGCGAGCAGGUGCGAAAGCAGGUCAUAGUGAUCCGGUGGUUCUGAAUGGAAGGGCCAUCGCUCAACGGAUAAAAGGUACUCCGGGGAUAACAGGCUGAUACCGCCCAAGAGUUCAUAUCGACGGCGGUGUUUGGCACCUCGAUGUCGGCUCAUCACAUCCUGGGGCUGAAGUAGGUCCCAAGGGUAUGGCUGUUCGCCAUUUAAAGUGGUACGCGAGCUGGGUUUAGAACGUCGUGAGACAGUUCGGUCCCUAUCUGCCGUGGGCGCUGGAGAACUGAGGGGGGCUGCUCCUAGUACGAGAGGACCGGAGUGGACGCAUCACUGGUGUUCGGGUUGUCAUGCCAAUGGCACUGCCCGGUAGCUAAAUGCGGAAGAGAUAAGUGCUGAAAGCAUCUAAGCACGAAACUUGCCCCGAGAUGAGUUCUCCCUGACUCCUUGAGAGUCCUGAAGGAACGUUGAAGACGACGACGUUGAUAGGCCGGGUGUGUAAGCGCAGCGAUGCGUUGAGCUAACCGGUACUAAUGAACCGUGAGGCUUAACCUU
rnacentral:rRNA from 1 species